AGCGAACGCUGGCGGCAGGCUUAACACAUGCAAGUCGAGCGCCCCGCAAGGGGAGCGGCAGACGGGAUAGUAACACGUGGGAACGUACCCUUCAGUUCGGAACAACCCAGGGAAACUUGGGCUAAUACCGAAUACGUCCGUAAGGAGAAAGAUUUAUCGCUGAAGGAUCGGCCCGCGUCUGAUUAGCUAGUUGGUGAGGUAACGGCUCACCAAGGCGACGAUCAGUAGCUGGUCUGAGAGGAUGAUCAGCAUCACUGGGACUGAGACACGGCCCAGGCUCCUACGGUAGGCGGCAGUGGGGAAUAUUGGACAAUGGGCGCAAGCCUGAUCCAGCCAUGCCGCGUGGAUGAUGAAGGCCUUAGGGUUGUAAAGUCCUUGUAACGGGGAGGAUAAUGACGGUACCCGUAGAAUAAGCCCCGGCUAACUUCGUGCCAGCCGCCGCUGUAAGAC
rnacentral:rRNA from 1 species